AUUAGUGGUGGAGAAGGCCUAUGAGAUGCCACCUGGAAUAGUGGGACCCUAAACUAUUCUUAUUUCUAUAUAUUAUGGAUUAUGGAUAUGGAUAUGGAUGCUUUUUCUCUCUCCCACUAUCUGCAAAUGCCAAUGCUUCUCUCUCCUCGGUACCCAAUCAACCGCCCACCUCUCCCGCUCACUUCAAAUCUUUCCCCAACAAACACUUUUCGAUUCACACACAAUGUUCAACAAAUGCUACUUUUCAAAUUUUGAAUUUGAAAGAACUUCAAUUUUCUAAUUCAUCUCAUCCUCUUAAAUUUCAUUUUUUCACGUCUUUUUCUUCAAGUUUCCUUCUCUGCUUCCCUUAUUUUUCGUUUUCCAAUGCAAUCCUCUCUCUUCACAAACCAUAAUUCCAUCAUUUAUGGUUCUCAAUUUCCAAUUCAAAUUUAAUUUUUCUAUCACGCACCCACUAAGCCAUGGAACUCAAAUUACAGCCUGAACCACACUUGCGACCACCUCGACUUCACGACUUCAUAGUCUCAUCUUCUCCACGAUUUCCUCCCUCUCGCGUCUCCUUCUCCGACUACCUCCUCCGCUCCCAGCCUGAACCACACUUGGAAUUCUCUUUCUGGAAAACUCCUCCCACUUGCACCUGGCCUCCACUCCCUCUGGCAAAGGUUCGGUAAGGACACAGUUUGGCUGGGUUUACUGUAUUUUCUCUUCAAGGCUCUUGGAAACCUUUCAAUGGAGUCAUUGAAAAGAGGAAUGGUUACUCCAUAGAUCAGUUUAAGAAUGAGGUAAGUGUUGGUACUACUUUUCUGUAUUAUAAAUAUGAAUCCAGUUUCAAUUUUGUGUAGAAAAGUUUUGGAACACGUUUGUUUCUCAAAUCCUCUCUGUUAGAAGCAUCUAGAUUUUUUAAUUUUGUUUUUUCUACAAUUUAUUGGCUGGUCCUGUUGAAACCUGUGUUAACAAGCUCUUCUUUGGCGUUGACAGGUCAUAGAGUUCAGCUACUGCUCAGUUUAUUUAAGCUGGAUUCAUUGAUUGCAAUAUUACAUGUUUCCUUUCAGAUUUUUUAUUCUUUUAGUUGCAGUGAAGAAAUCGGCAGAUUUUCCUGGAUUUUAUUAGAGUUCUUUUGUAAUGGAUUACUUUGUUCCUCACUUCAUUGGCUUACUAUGUAUUGUUGCAGGUAUAGUGUUAUGUUAAAGCAUUUUCAAAACCAGGAUCCAUCUAUUAAUGGUUGGUGAAGCAAAGUGGAAUACUCUUGACCGAUUAUUUUUGUUCAUUGAGCAACAUAAUGAAGAAUUUCAAUAGAAGUUCUAGGAGAGUUUUCAAGGUGAUGUGGAAAUCAUUUAAGGAGGUGAGAAGUUUUACUCUUCCAAGUUAGUUGAAGCUUUUAUGAUAACUUUUAUGUAGCUGAUACACUUCGAUCCUCAUGGACCACAUGCAUUUCUGAGAAGUCCCAUGAAGACAUUUAUGAGUUGGUUCACAAGGAGUUUAACUCUUUGUUUAUUGCUUUAGUGGCAGAUACUGUAUAUCUUUGUCCAAUUGUCCCUUCAAUUUUAUGUAUUGCAGUUAAAGAGUCUGUUCGAAAACACUUGGAUUUCACAUUGCGUCAUUAUGUUCGUUACAUUCUCUCUUAAAGGAAUUCCUUAAAUUAAAUAAACCUUCUAUAAGGAGUUAAAAUAGGACCUAAAUAUGUUUUAUUGAUCCAAAUUUUACUUCUGAUAUCAACUAUAUUUACAGUUUCAAAAACUUACAAUUACUCUUUCUCUAAUACUAAUUUUUUGUCUUACUGAAGCUAACUGUAUAUUAAUUUUUUGCAGCUCAAUGGCAGAUAGGGUGUCAUUGAAUGAAGCAAGCUCUAGCUAUCAUCAGACUAUUAAAAGUGUUCUGUCAUGCUAUAAUGUUCUAUUUGGCCAAAUGUGCCAAAUACAUGCAUAUCCAUUUGACCAAUACGGUAUUAUCUUGAGUCAUGCCAUAGUAAAGACAAAACCAGGAAGCUCAACAGAAUGGAAGCUUAAAAGUUGGAUGCUCUAUGUACUGUGGAAAUGGGAAAGAUGUUGAGAGCCCAUGUUCUAAUCCUGAUCAUGUUGUGGUGAUUUUUUCUGCUUGGCAUGUAGUUUGCGUCUUGCUAGCAAGCCCUUCUAAGAUAGUCUUCAAGAAAUUACAUUCUUUUGUUCUUUUAUGUAUAGUACAAUGGCAUAUGAUGCUAAUGUAUUCUAUUAACUACAAGUUUUUGUUGUUGACAACUGCAAGUGGCUGUUGAAGGGUGAAAAUUUCCAGUUGCUUUUAGAGGAAUUGUUGCAAAUGAAGUGUUAUAGGGGCUGAUUGAGUGAUAUUUAGUUAUGAUAAAAUUAAUAUGUCU